AUCCAUGAGAAGACACAGUGUUCCAUCCAGAGGAUGUAGCAUCAAGGCGUCAUCUUAAAAGCAGAGAAAAGACUCUUACUUGACACCAGAUGCCAGUGCAUUGAUCUUGGACUUCCCAGCCUCUAGAACUGUAAACAGCCCUGGGACAAAGAACAGACUACGGGUAUUGCCUUCUUAAUCAACAAUAAAGUAUUAGUUGGCUUCCAGGCAGACACCACUGACUUUCAAGAGAAAGGCACGGGAGUAAGGAAGUAAAGAAUUCAGGUGCUGCUUGAAAAUACAACAAACUGUCUUCAGAAUACUUUUAUGUGUUGUUGAAAGAAAGCACUGCAGCUAAUAUAGCUACAAAGGAGAAACAGUUAUUCUUAAAUGUCAUCUAUUUGCUGGACCUGAACAGGAAUUCACUAUGGAGCUCAUACAACUACCACCUUCAGCUAUUAAUCAAGGAGUCAUUCAACUGAGAAAGGGGAGAUUGAGAUGUUGAAUCAUUUCUCAUUCUGUGAAGUCUACCAGAAUAACCCAUAAAGCAAAUAUCAACCUAUUUCAAGCCAAAAUAAAUGGAUGUGAAGCAGAUUGGACUCAAAGCAUUGAAAUCAAGACUUUGGCAUUAACUAACUCUGUGUGUUUAGACAAAAUGGAAUCAUCUUGAAGAACACAGAUUAUCAGGCCUUACCCUAGAGUUUCUUACUCAGUACCUCUGGUGUGAGAGCACAAAAACUGGCCUUUAUAACAAGUCCUCAUGUGAUGCUGAUGCUGUUAGACUGGAAGCCACGCUCGUGAACCAUGGGUUUAGAUAUCACUGGGACCCUCAUGGAGCCCAUUUUCUCAGGCGUAGAAUGUGACUGAAGACCACUUACCACCAAAGAAUUUAUCUGGGAGAAGUCCUUUUUAAAAGCAUAUACAUAUUUUUUUUAAUAUGUACACAUUCUUAAAAGAAUUAUUUUCAGUUAUAAUCUAGGACCACUCCACUGAUCUGACUACUUUAUGAGAAACAUAAUCAGAUUAUUAUAACAUAUGAAGACUGUCAGUGGUACAUUCUAGUGUCACCCUGGAUAUUAUAUUAUUGAAAUUAGAAAAAUGAAAAAUACUGAUACAGCAGACGAAUUCUGGAACUAACACUUCCACAAAUCAUUGAUAAUCCAUUUUCCAACUUCUUCAAAUUCCAGACCAUCAACAAGACAUCAAGGGCUCCGGACAUUGUGAAAGUUUCCCUUUAAGUUACGACGGGAAUCCAGAACAACGCCGUAUGGACCCCUCUGCAGGUAGCAAGGAAAAGCGCCAGUAACUUUUAAAGGCUUGUUUUGCAUAUUAUUCAGGCCUAAAUCACGGUUCUCAUAAAUUGAUUAUCAUGUCCCUUUCAUCUGUCCAUUUAUGCUUCUAAAUGGUUCUUAAUGGUUCACUAUAUUUGAAGGCCAUAACCAUUUGCUGAUGAGUUACUAGUUUAAUUUGUCACUAUUUCUCCAAUACAUAUAUGUAAGUGCUUAUCGUCUUUUAAUCCUAGAUAUUCUUCUGGAAGUAAUAAUAAAAGUUGAAAGCUGGAAGGAAAAUAA
ensembl:lncRNA LINC01709 long intergenic non-protein coding RNA 1709